rnacentral:rRNA from 1 species
UACGUAGGGGGCAAGCGUUGUCCGGAAUCACUGGGCGUAAAGCGCAUGUAGGCGGGAUAUUAAGUCAGGUGUGAAAACUAUGGGCUCAACCUGUAGAUUGCAUCUGAAACUGAUAUUCUUGAGUAUUGGAGAGGAAAGUGGAAUUCCUAGUGUAGCGGUGAAAUGCGUAGAUAUUAGGAGGAACACCAGUGGCGAAGGCGACUUUCUGGCCAAAACUGACGCUGAGAUGCGAAAGCGUGGGGAGGCAAACAGGAUUAGA